rnacentral:rRNA from 1 species
GACGAACGCUGGCGGCGUGCCUAAUACAUGCAAGUAGAACGCACAGUUUAUACCGUAGCUUGCUACACCAUAGACUGUGAGUUGCGAACGGGUGAGUAACGCGUAGGUAACCUGCCUGGUAGCGGGGGAUAACUAUUGGAAACGAUAGCUAAUACCGCAUAAUAUUAAUUAUUGCAUGAUAAUUAAUUGAAAGGUGCAAUUGCACCACUACCAGAUGGACCUGCGUUGUAUUAGCUAGUAGGUGAGGUAACGGCUCACCUAGGCGACGAUACAUAGCCGACCUGAGAGGGUGAUCGGCCACACUGGGACUGGGACACGGCCCAGACUCCUACGGGAGGCAGCAGUAGGGAAUCUUCGGCAAUGGACGAAAGUCUGACCGAGCAACGCCGCGUGAGUGAAGAAGGGUUUCGGAUCGUAAAGCUCUGUUGUAAGAGAAGAACGGGUGUGAGAGUGGAAAGUUCACACUGUGACGGUAUCUUACCAGAAAGGGACGGCUAACUACGUG